UCUGCUCCAAAAAGCGAAAAAUUGGCGAUAACUCGAUCAAUUUUAGAGACAGAUCAAUUUGGCUUGCGGAUCCGGAUUCCUGAGCGAAAACUACGUGAAAUUAUUAUGGAAAACCCAAUCCAAAAAAAUGUUGAUUUUUGACCCCAAAAUUGUAAAAAAUCCAAGACUAUAAGCUUGACAUCUUUUUGGCUUGGCAAUUCUCGUUACGAUUUUCGAUUGAUCAUCAGCUUUAUCAGAAUAGGAUAGCUUACAUAUAUGUAUAUAGGUAUAAUGAGACGUAGGUCUUCUAACAUUUCAGACUCUUGACAUUCCUCCUAAUUUUACAUGUGAUUUCUUUAUUUCUGUUUUCUUGUAUUGAAUAAUUUGAAUUUUCACUAUCUAUUAGGCAUGCAAACAAUAAAAUUUUGCAUAUUAGUAGUAAAAAGGAUAUCCCAUCUGUAAUUAUACCUACACAUAUAUUUAAAUGAUAAAAUAUAUCAUCCGUAUAUCUACAUACAUGUUGUCACAUUUACGUAUAGCAGUCACUUAUAGCACCUGAUCAUUGUUGUGAAACAAUGCCGACGAGUAGACACGGCCUAAAUUAAUAUAUACCCACAUAAUUAUAUCGUAUUGGUCACAAUCAGACGAAGAUCUCUAUUAUAGGUAUGACUUAUACUUACCUAUAAAUCAGAAUCCAAAUCUGCACAUUUGACGCAAAUAUUAUAUUAUACGACGAAUAUACGACGAAUGUUAGCAAUCUAUAAUAUCCUUGAUUAUGGAAACCGAAUAAUUACGCAACCUAACAAUUAUUUCGUGGAUUAUUAGAAAAUGUAAUUCUGUGAUGUCUGGCAUAUAUCUAGAACGGAAUCAAAGGAAAGAUUUCUUAGUUAUCAUGUGAGCUGCACCUGUCUCGAUUUACGCACAGUAUAUGUGGCACUGAUCAUGUGACAUGCAGUUAUCAAUGCUACAGGGUUUUGUAGAUGCAUUGUUCAUAUCACCUAUCGACGUACAUACGUUCGACGUAUUCAUAGCAUGUAUGUAGUUUUCCUGUAGGAAUAAUCCCUUAUACUUAGAUGUGCAUAAUAUCCAUGUAAUAUUUACACCGAACUCCUCGUUCUCCCCGUCUCUCCCUGCUGAUGAAAAUCCCUCUACUUGGGCAUAUUUUUCAUGUUGAGAUGAUCAAAUUUCACGUGUCGUUCGAUAUAACGUACCGCAAGGUAUGCCUAAAUACAUGAUACAGAAUAUACAUACAUAUAAUAUAAAGCCUGAUAAUGUAAUAUACGGGCAAUAUAAUGAGGUAAAAUCAAAUUCGUUACUAUAUCUAAUAACUGCAGUGCAUAAAUAUAAUACACCAUAGGUAUACAGGUAUAAUAUACGGAUUAACUAUUAUAGAUUAUUAACUGUAACAAUGUGUGUUUUGUGCCCUUGUAUUGUACAUCGUAGAGAUAUGUUUAUUCAUACGUACAUAGAUUGAUAUAAAUAGAUACGUGUGUAUUGUAUACUUAUUACCGGUUGUACUAUCUAUCUAUCAAUGGUUGGUGAAAGGUACUUUAAGUCUUCACUGCCCAUACCGUAACGUACUUUGACGAUGUAUGAUCGAUUGCCUCUUUUUCAAAUGUAUAAUGCAGUUCGAUAUUUUACGCAAGUCACUUUUACGGUGGCAGGCUGGUCCCAAUGGGUGAUACUACACGUGGAUGUUCAACCUCGACUUACAAUUAAUGGAAAUGAUCGGACUAAGCCACAUUGAUUAGCGAAAGAAUAAAACUUACGAUUAUUGUCAAAUAUAGCCUAUGAAUAAAAUGACGUAAUCAAAGUUAUAGGUAUACACUUAUGAAUUCAUUUCAAUAUCGUUUGUAAUCUAUUGUUUUUGACAAAACAGAUAGAAAAUAAGUAGCUGUGUCUCUUUUUAAUCGAAACUUCCCAGUCCGACCUUAUCUGUUUACGGAAACGUAUGCAUAAAAUACGUGUAUAUUGUAAAAUUCGAAAUUCAGUAAUUUCGAGAUUCAUGUAGCCUGCUAACCGUUGAUAAGGAAAUCAUCGGUACACAUAUUCAACCACAUCUGCAUAUCUAUACGUAUAUUAAUAUUGACAAUCAGAAUAAUUUUUCUAACCAAAAUAUCUACACUGUAUAAUAAAUAGCUUGUUACAAACUCCAGCUGUUCACAUCAAAAUAAAAGCAAUAUUCAAAG
rnacentral:lncRNA from 1 species